rnacentral:rRNA from 1 species
UACGGAGGGAGCUAGCGUUGUUCGGAAUUACUGGGCGUAAAGCGCGCGUAGGCGGCUUUGCAAGUCGGGUGUGAAAUCCCCAGGCUUAACCUGGGAACUGCAUUCGAGACUGCAUUGCUAGAGUAUGGGAGAGGGAAGUGGAAUUUCCGGUGUAGCGGUGAAAUGCGUAGAUAUCGGAAGGAACAUCAGUGGCGAAAGCGACUUCCUGGACCAAUACUGACGCUCAUGUGCGAAAGCGUGGGGAGCAAACAGG